CAGGGGGAAGGGGAGAAAGAGAGAGAUAGAACAGGGAAUCCACGAGCGAUCGACUGCCCUAGUCAGUCCUCGUCCGUCUGCCGGUCGGUCGUUUACGUUUAUGUUUGACAGCUUGUGAAUUCGCGUCACUCGAGCUUCGACCAGCCAGUGCUUCGUCUGUGUGUGUGUGGAUGUGUAUGUGUGCCGUCUCAUCUACCUACACGCUCGAUCAAAAAAAUGAAUUUCUUCUCGACCGACUUGCCGAUAUCAAUCGAGACUUUUCUCUUUUUCCUGGAUCGUUCGAUUUUUCGAAUCGAUGCCUCGCAUCGAUAUUUUCCGAUCAUCUUAAAAGACACUUUUAUCCGUUCACGCUAGUUACCGGACUUCGACGAUUCUCCGAUUUUCAAAGGAAAAAAAGAUCUCGGAUAGAAAGUCGUAAGAAAUGUUUGGCUGAGACAUUCUGUUAGCCGUUUAAACCCACGUUCCACGCAGUUGAUAGAGAGUCGCGCGAGUAUACGCGUGCCAGAAGCAAGAUGACGAAACUGAGAAAGUUAGAAAAUGACGGAGUUGAUCGCAGGCUCCCGAGAGUUGGCUACCUACCGUUUGGAACAUGCAGCAACAGCAGGCGAGAAAAAGUUGUUGGUCGUUGGUUGGCUCGGUGAGGACGCAGCUUAAUAGACGCAGGAUCACGCGUCGAAAGUUUCGGACGAUCAGUGAACUUGAAAGCGGUACCACGAUGAAUCCGCGAAAGUAGGAGCAACGACCACGCGAAGGGAAUGCUGUUCGACUUCCACGCGCGCACGUUACGUGACAAUAUGCCCCCGAAGCUCCGUUUUCUGGCUAAACUACCGAUGCGAACGAUGCCAUCGUGCGCGCGCGCUAAUCGUUCGUAGAAAGUUCAGCAACCUCUGCCGACGUUUCGUCUCGUGGCCCUCUUUCUCCUUCCUUGCCUCUCUCGAUAGCCAACUACCUCGAUCGGCGUACCGAACGUAUUUAACGCUCGAUUCCAUGACGAGCUUCCUGUGCCACGGAACGAGCUGCCAUUCCUCGCCAAUACCGUCGCUACGUUAGAACGUGUCGCGAAUUUCGUGGAACGGUGAACGGUCGACCUUGUAAGCCCGACUAGAAAGCUAUACACAGGGUGUUCCAGUAUUGAUGGUAGAACCGAGGUGGGGCUGGUUCCGUGUUUAAAAAAUGGAUCGAGAAUAUAGAAUACAUUUUUCUUUUUUUUUUAUUUCAGGCUUGGAAAUCAUUUCAGACUUUCGAGAAAACUGACUCGAAAGCCUGGUCUUAAAGAAAGUAGAAUUUUCUCCGCGUUUAAUUAAGAAUUCGAUUGGUUCACGCGUGCUCCAUCAAGUUUCUAGUUUCAUUUUCUCGCAAAAGGAACAUCCUACGAAAAGUAUCGUUUAUUAUCCACAUUUUUUACUUAUUUUCAUAAAUAGAACAAAUUCUUGUCGGUUCUUCGCUUCCAUCCAGACCGGAAUCAGCCAGGUUCCAAUGCUUUUGAUUUUCAUCAAAUUUUCAAACACGAUUUUUAUCGAAUACGAAGCAAAGUCUCGAUAGCUCGAAUAAAAUUUUAUUUUAUAAUUUUAAUUUGUUCUUUUUCGCGUAGGAUCACCUUCUUGCCGAUUGUAUCGUGAAUACCGGAACAUCCUGUACGCCGUGCUAAAGCGAUCGUCGUUCGCGAUGCUUCGAAUUUGCCCUCCUUUCGUAUCGCACACAUAAUCGUUGCUGGUUUUCUCGACACUCCUUUUCACUCGUUUCAUCCCGCGUAAUAUUCCUCUCGACUAGUUGCUCUUCGGUUCUCCGUCUCGCUCAUUGUCCACGCUUAUUCACCGCGAUGCGCUGUUUCGCUCGUUCAAUUACGCACUUCGUCGGAAUGCCGAGGGAGAAACGAAUUCCAAGAGUGGCAGCCUUGUCAAGGUGUUCCCCGCGCCACUCCUGCAUGGAAAAACUUUUCUACUACGUAAAACAGGGAAAAUACAGUUCGUACAUGUAUGGGGAGAACUGCGAAAAGACAACUGGAUGAUAGAAGUUGCCUCGAGUAUCCGAAACGCAAUUUUUAUUUUCGAUGUUACUUAUUCCGUAUUCGUAUGUAAUUACCAUUUUAUAUAAGGUAUUCGAUUAAAUAAUUAUAUGAUAAA